rnacentral:rRNA from 1 species
UAACAUCCGGAAACGGGUGCUAAUACCGCAUAGUUUCUUGAUCGCAUGAUCGAGAAAGGAAAGACGGCCUUUGUGCUGUCGCUUAUGGAUGGACCCGCGGCGUAUUAGGUUAGUUGGUGAGGUAACGGCUCACCAAGACGAUGAUACGUAGCCGACCUGAGAGGGUGAUCGGCCACAUUGGGACCGAGACACGGCCCAAACUCCUACGGGAGGCAGCAGUAGGGAAUCUUCCGCAAUGGACGAAAGUCUGACGGAGCAACGCCGCGGUGAGUGAAGAAAGGUUUUCGGAUCGUAAAACUCUGUUGUCAGAGAAGAACAAGGUCGGAGAGUAACUGCUCCGGCCUUGACGGUAUCUGACCAGAAAGCCACGGCUAACUACGUGCCAGCAGCGGC